rnacentral:rRNA from 1 species
UUUAUGUCGGCGACCGGCGCACGGGUGAGUAACGCGUAUCCAACCUACCCAUAACUAAGGGAUAACCAGCGAAAGUUGGACUAAUACCUUAUGUAUUCGUUUGACCUCAUGAGAUUACGAAUAAAGAUUUAUCGGUUAUGGAUGGGGAUGCGUCUGAUUAGCUUGUUGGCGGGGUAACGGCCCACCAAGGCAACGAUCAGUAGGGGUUCUGAGAGGAAGGUCCCCCACAUUGGAACUGAGACACGGUCCAAACUCCUACGGGAGGCAGCAGAG